GGCAGCGCGGGGCAACCUGGCGGCGAGUGGCGAACGGGUGAGUAAUAUAUCGGAACGUACCCAAGAGUGGGGGAUAACGUAGCGAAAGUUACGCUAAUACCGCAUACGAUCCAAGGAUGAAAGCAGGGGAUCUUCGGACCUUGUGCUCCUGGAGCGGCCGAUAUCUGAUUAGCUAGUUGGUGAGGUAAAGGCUCACCAAGGCUACGAUCAGUAGCUGGUCUGAGAGGACGACCAGCCACACUGGAACUGAGACACGGUCCAGACUCCUACGGGAGGCAGCAGUGGGGAAUUUUGGACAAUGGGCGAAAGCCUGAUCCAGCAAUGCCGCGUGAGUGAAGAAGGCCUUCGGGUUGUAAAGCUCUUUUGUCAGGGAAGAAACGGUCUGGGCUAAUAUCCUGGGCUAAUGACGGUACCUGAAGAAUAAGCACCGGCUAACUACGUGCCAGCAGCCGCGGUAAUACGGA
rnacentral:rRNA from 1 species